AUUGAACGCUGGCGGCGUGCUUUACACAUGCAAGUCGAGCGGCAGCACGACCUUCGGGUUGGUGGCGAGCGGCGAACGGGUGAGUAAUACAUCGGAACGUACCUUUUAGUGGGGGAUAACGCAUCGAAGGAUGUGCUAAUACCGCAUAAUCUCUGAGGAGGAAAGGCGGGGACCUUCGGGCCUGUCGCUGAAAGAGCGGCCGAUGGCUGAUUAGCUAGUUGGUAGGGUAAAGGCCUACCAAGGCGAUGAUCAGUAGCUGUUCUGAGAGGAAGAUCAGCCACACUGGGACUGAGACACGGCCCAGACUCCUACGGGAGGCAGCAGUGGGGAAUUUUGGACAAUGGGGGCAACCCUGAUCCAGCCAUGCCGCGUGCGGGAAGAAGGCCUUCGGGUUGUAAACCGCUUUUGUCGGGGAAGAAACGGUCAGCGCUAAUACCGCGGACUAAUGACGGUACCCGAAGAAUAAGCACCGGCUAACUACGUGCCAGCCGCCGCAGUAAAAC
rnacentral:rRNA from 1 species